GUGGGUGGCGGAGCCCUGGCACAGCUGCCCAGAGAACCACAACCUGGGAAUUGAAGUUGGGCUGCGCUCGAUUUAAAGAUAUGCUGGCACAAAGUCCACUGCUACAAAGCCAUACUGAGAUGUUCACAACUGUUGCAGAAUGCUGUGGGCUUCUCUUGUUCUCUUGCAGUCAGCACCGUGUCACUGGCAGUUGUUUAUGAGUUCUGUCCUUCUGCAGGUGCUGCAGGGAGCUCAGGCCAACCAACUGCGCUGGAGUCACCACUGCAUGCAGGUGUUGAGGUGCUGGCUCUGUGCUCCCCAGGGUACGGGGCCAUGUGCUGCUGAGAACAGAGGCCUCCUGCCUUCCUUCUGCCUGCUCCCCUUGGAGAUCUGCAGCUGGUGUUUCAGUCACAGUGAUGUGAACACAGAGCAGUGGUAAACCCGACAUCGCUGUGACGCAGCAUGUGGUACAUAAAGGCUUUGACUUGUAAUGGAAAGUGUUGUUGCAGUUUAAAGAUGUCAGUGGCGGUUCCAGGGGGCCUGAAGUGCAGUGUGUGCACCUGUGCUACUGUGUGCAUGGAGCUUGCAUGUAGAAGGAGCAGUGCGUGCCAUUGUGCCUGCCGAGCUCCCACAGGCAGCGGCUGCAGUGUUGGACUCACAGCCAUGGGAUAAUAUGGGUCUGCUUGCAAACAGCUGCGGCUGCUGGAAGCCAAAGCACCCUGCUUGGUUCUUGCCUGGGCCAGAACAGGCUGUGGGAACUCAGGAUGAAUGUGAGUGCAGGAGUGCCAUGUGGGCAGUCCAUAAGGAAAUUAAAGGGGGGAAAAAUACAAAACACACAAAUAACCAAACGCCAAACCAUCCCCCAUCAGUAGGCUGCAGUGUUAUCCUCC
rnacentral:lncRNA from 1 species